AUUGAACGCUGGCGGCAGGCCUAACACAUGCAAGUCGAACGAGUGGCGGACGGGUGAGUAAUGUCUGGGAAACUGCCUGAUGGAGGGGGAUAACUACUGGAAACGGUAGCUAAUACCGCAUACCAUCGGAUGUGCCCAGAUGGGAUUCGCUAGUAGGUGGGGUAACGGCUCACCUAGGCGACGAUCCCUCGCUGGUCUGAGAGGAUGACCAUCCACACUGGAACUGAGACACGUUCAAGACUCCGACGGGAGGCAGCAGUGGGGAAGAUUGCACAAUGGGCGCAAGCCUGAUGCAGCCAUGCCGAGUGUAUGAAGAAGGCCUUAGGGUGGUAAAGUACUUUCAGCGGGGAGGCGUUACCCGCAGAAGAAGCACCGGCUAACUCCGUGCCAGCAGCCGCGGUAAUAC
rnacentral:rRNA from 1 species